GACGAACGCUGGCGGCGUGCUUAACACAUGCAAGUCGAACGGAAAGGCUCCAGCUUGCUGGUGUACUCGAGUGGCGAACGGGUGAGUAACACGUGGGUAAUCUGCCCUGCACUCUGGGAUAAGCCUGGGAAACUGGGUCUAAUACUGUAUAUGACCUGUCUCCUGAUGGGGUGUGGUGGAAAGUUUGUCGUUGUAGGAUGGGCCCGCGGCCUAUCGGCUUGUUGGGUGGGUGAUGGCCUACCAAGGCGACGACGGGUCGCCGGCAUGGGAGGGUGGACAGCCACCAUGGUACUGAGAUACGGCCCAGACUCCUAUGGGAGGCAGCAGUGGGGAAUAUUGCACAAUGGGAGGAAGCCUGAUGCAGAGACGCCGCGUGAGGGAAGACGGCCUUCGGGUUGUAAACCUCUUUCAGCAGGGACGAAGCGUAAGUGACGGUACCUGAAGAAGAAGCACCGGCUAACUACGUG
rnacentral:rRNA from 1 species